UAAAAGAAUUAUGGCGAUGUAAGAAAUCAUUAUUUAUGUAAAUAAUGAUGAUUUUAACCACUAUUAUUUCUAAUAAGAAACAUUAUUUACUUUUUUUUGUAGUGAAAUAAAUUCAAUCUAGCAUAUUUAAAAUAUGUAAUUUUUUUUCUAUAAAGAACACAAGUAUCAUUUAGCAGAAACAAUCUUAUUUAAAAUUGUUAUGGACAGAACUUUUCUUCCAAAUAUUUUAAUAAUUAUGAUGUACAGAACUUAAAUUCAAAAAUAUUAAUUAAACUGCAAUAACAUUGUAUCAGUUAAUUUGUAUACUCAGUUAUUUGUGAGUGUUUCAUUUGUUUACUAUAUAUUCUUUUUUAACAUGUGAUUUUUUAAUAGUAAUUUCCCUCCAUUACUUCAUCCAGAGUCCUAUGCAUGCGUUGCCUUUCAUCUUCCUGGUAUGUCUGAACAUGCUCCUCUUUUACUUCAUCCAGAGUCCUAUACAUGUCAAACAUUUAGUUAAAAGUGUUAUGGCUGUGUAUAAUGUCAUGAGUGGUAUAUCUACUGCACUAUCAAAGAACUUAGAAUGGAUUUACCCCAUGACAAAGUUAUAAACAACAAGGACAUUAUGAAUGUGGAUACUAUGUCAUGAAUUGGAUGUAGGGGGAGUAACAAAUGGUUGGAGUGAGCUUUUUGAAGAUGCUACACCAUUGGGGGAAACCAAAUUGGAAGACAUUCGGAUUCAUUGGGGAAAUUUGUUUUUAGAAAAAUUUAGAAAUAGAUCAUGUUAAAAGGUCUAGUAUUACAUGUAAAAUUUAGAAAUAGGUGAAUGUGCUUUCAGUAUUAGGCUUCCCAGUGCAUGUCUAAUGUAGUGUGACCUAAUUUUUUUGAUCUUUUCUUCUCCUUGUAAGAGAAAAACUCUUCUUUAUGGAUACUAGAUUAGCCUCUCUUGGUUUCCAAGUAUAUUGUUUCUUUAGUAUUAU